rnacentral:rRNA from 1 species
AGCCGGUUUGCGGCCAGGCAGCCAACGCUGCCUGUUCCGUAACGCGAAAUAAUGGCCACGCCAGGGACAUCAUUGCGCGGCCUCCCCAAUAUCAACGCCAAAUUGUGCCAGCAGAUAUUUCUCGGCCUGUUCAUUCCAGAUGCCGUGCGUUUCCUCAACCAGCCGCGCCAGCUCUUUAAACAGCGGAUCGGUUUUGCCUUUUUCGGCAAAAUCGGCAAUGGCGGUCAGCGGCAUGGUCACGCCGUUAGAGUAGAAUUCUACUCCCUGGACGAAGACUGACGCUCAGGUGCGAAAGCGUGGGGAGCAAACAGGAUUAGAUACCCUGGUAGUCCACGCCGUAAACGAUGUCGACUUGGAGGUUGUGCCCUUGAGGCGUGGCUUCCGGAGCUAACGCGUUAAGUCGACCGCCUGGGGAGUACGGCCGCAAGGUUAAAACUCAAAUGAAUUGACGGGGGCCCGCACAAGCGGUGGAGCAUGUGGUUUAAUUCGAUGCAACGCGAAGAACCUUACCUGGUCUUGACAUCCACGGAAGUUUUCAGAGAUGAGAAUGUGCCUUCGGGAACCGUGAGACAGGUGCUGCAUGGCUGUCGUCAGCUCGUGUUGUGAAAUGUUGGGUUAAGUCCCGCAACGAGCGCAACCCUUAUCCUUUGUUGCCAGCGGUCCGGCCGGGAACUCAAAGGAGACUGCCAGUGAUAAACUGGAGGAAGGUGGGGAUGACGUCAAGUCAUCAUGGCCCUUACGACCAGGGCUACACACGUGCUACAAUGGCGCAUACAAAGAGAAGCGACCUCGCGAGAGCAAGCGGACCUCAUAAAGUGCGUCGUAGUCCGGAUUGGAGUCUGCAACUCGACUCCAUGAAGUCGGAAUCGCUAGUAAUCGUGGAUCAGAAUGCCACGGUGAAUACGUUCCCGGGCCUUGUACACACCGCCCGUCACACCAUGGGAGUGGGUUGCAAAAGAAGUAGGUAGCUUAACCUUCGGGAGGGCGCUUACCACUUUGUGAUUCAUGACUGGGGUGAAGUCGUAACAAGGUAACCGUAGGGGAACCUGCGGUUG